rnacentral:rRNA from 1 species
GUGCACCAGUCGCGAAACCUUCGCAAUGCGGGAAACCGCGACGAGGGGACUCCCAGUGCCUACGCUCAGCGUAGGCUGUUCCCGAGCCUAGAAAGCUCGGGGAGUAAGGGCUGGGUAAGACGGGUGCCAGCCGCCGCGGUAAUACCCGCAGCCCGAGUGGUGGCCACUAUUAUUGGGCCUAAAGCGUCCGUAGCCGGCCCGGUAAAUGCCUGGGUAAAUCGUGAGGCCUAACCUCACGAAUUCCGGGUAGACUGCCGGGCUAGGGACCGGAGGAGGGAGAGGGGUACUCCAGGGGUAGGGGUGAAAUCCUGUAAUCCCUGGAGGACCACCGGUGGCGAAGGCGCUCUCCUAGGACGGGUCCGACGGUGAGGGACGAAAGCCAGGGGAGCGAACCGGAUUAGAUACCCGCGUAGU